AACGAACGCUGGCGGCAUGCCUAACACAUGCAAGUCGAACGAGGCCUUCGGGUCUAGUGGCGCACGGGUGCGUAACGCGUGAGAACCUGCCCUUAGGUUCGGAAUCACUCCCCGAAAGGGGUGCAAAUACCGGAAAAUGUCUUCGGACCAAAGAUUUAUCGCCUUUGGGUGGGCCCGCGUUGGAUUAGCUAGUUGGUAGGGUAAAAGCCUACCAAGGCGACGAUACAUAGCUGGUCUGAGAGGAGGAUCAGCCACACUGGGACUGAGACACGGCCCAGACUCCUACGGGAGGCAGCCGUGGGGAAUAUGGGACAAGGGGCGAAAGCCUGAGCCAGCAAGGCCGCGUGAGUGAUGAAGGCCUUAGGGUUGUAAAGCUCGUUUACCCGGGAUGAUAAUGACAGUACCGGGAGAAUAAGCGCCGGCUAACUCCGUG
rnacentral:rRNA from 1 species